AUCACUGUGGCUGAAGGGAUCCUGUGCUCUGAGUGGCCAGGCCUGAGUCACAUGUUCUGCACUGGAUGUGAGCCUGGGGGAAACGCUGCUCCCCGAAAGGAAAUGCAGGCCGGAUGGAUGUUGGACAGAAAAGACAUUAAAACUCCAUUCAGUGAUUUCUAUACAGAAGCUUGCGGAAAAAGGCCAAGGAAGGAGUGAAGCUUUAUAGAGAAUUCGUGCCACUGUGAUCGGUCGGGCUUUGCAUCAGUAAAUUUUGGCUGUGCCUCUGUCUCAAAGCUGGAGUGACAGGGACCCACGAAAUACAAUUUUCCUUCCAGCUAAGGCUGAUGGAAAUCUUCAUGCUGAUAAUAUCGACAGCCCUUCUCCCAAAGCAGGAACCCGGGGAAACUUGGCAAGAAACACUGACUCUGGCUCCAGCUCCCAGCCUUGGCCACAGGAACCACAGUGGAUGACCCGGGCACCUGAUCCUCCUAAUCUGAAGGCAGGGGACAUACAGUCACACAAAACUGCUGUGGCUGGUGCAGCCGAGCCAAACCUGCCUGCCAAGCCUUUUCCGAUGGCACAAACCCCAGUUUUAGAAGACUCCAGGUGGAGAAGGACUUUGGAAAAGGGCACCUGUUUUGGCCUGUGUACAAUAACAACCCAGCCGCAGGAAAAAAUGCAGUUUCUCAUCAUUCUGGGAACGUGGGUUUGAGAGACAAAAUACAAAAUAAAAAUAGUUAACUCUCAUUUAUUGAGAGCCUCCUAGUGAUCUGCAACUUGCAUAGUUGUCCCCAACCCUGGCAGUCACCUUGUGAAUGUUGGUGAAUUACUAUUGUCACCAUUUUACAGAUCAGGAGACUGAGGCUCAGAGAAAUGAAAUAAGUUGUCUCAAUUCACACACAUGUAAGUAGCAAAGUGAAGGGUUUGAAUCCAGGUCUUUCUGGUUCCAGAGCCCGAGGCAUUCCAUUUUCUUUAAAUAAAUUCUUUAUUUGUGGAGAAGCAUCAUUCUCUUUGGGAGGCUGGGGGAGGUCUCAU